UAGAGUUUGAUCCUGGCUCAGAUUGAACGCUGGCGGCAGGCCUAACACAUGCAAGUCGAGCGGUAACAUUUCUAGCUUGCUAGAAGAUGACGAGCGGCGGACGGGUGAGUAAUGCUUGGGAACAUGCCUUGAGGUGGGGGACAACCAUUGGAAACGAUGGCUAAUACCGCAUAAUGUCUACGGACCAAAGGGGGCUUCGGCUCUCGCCUUUAGAUUGGCCCAAGUGGGAUUAGCUAGUUGGUGAGGUAAAGGCUCACCAAGGCGACGAUCCCUAGCUGGUUUGAGAGGAUGAUCAGCCACACUGGAACUGAGACACGGUCCAGACUCCUACGGGAGGCAGCAGUGGGGAAUAUUGCACAAUGGGCGCAAGCCUGAUGCAGCCAUGCCGCGUGUGUGAAGAAGGCCUUCGGGUUGUAAAGCACUUUCAGUCAGGAGGAAAGGUUAGUAGUUAAUACCUG
rnacentral:rRNA from 1 species